AACUGUUGGAAUGAGUCCACAGGAAGGCCAUGAAGAGGACCAGAGGGCUGGAGCACCUCUCCAACGAGGACAAGGAACAAAGGAAAAGCAGAAAAUGAGCAACCAAAACUGCUUCACAGACCUCUGCCUCUGAAGCUGCCAUCUAACCUCUCUGCACCAAGGGAGAAUAUCAGUAAAGGUCCUAGGAUGUGUGCAGGGUGAAUUCCUGAAAGUGAAGCAAAGAUUCUUUCCCAAACCCAAAGUCUUGUUGAAGCUGGACACUGUGGUGAAGUUAAGGAGGAGGAGAGAGAAACGUGAAGAACAAGCUGGCAUUUGGACUAC